rnacentral:rRNA from 1 species
AUUGAACGCUGGCGGCAGGCCUAACACAUGCAAGUCGAGCGGAUGAAGGGAGCUUGCUCCUGGAUUCAGCGGCGGACGGGUGAGUAAUGCCUAGGAAUCUGCCCGGUAGUGGGGGAUAACGUCCGGAAACGGGCGCUAAUACCGCAUACGUCCUGAGGGAGAAAGUGGGGGAUCUUCGGACCUCACGCUAUCAGAUGAGCCUAGGUCGGAUUAGCUAGUUGGUGGGGUAAAGGCCUACCAAGGCGACGAUCCGUAACUGGUCUGAGAGGAUGAUCAGUCACACUGGAACUGAGACACGGUCCAGACUCCUACGGGAGGCAGCAGUGGGGAAUAUUGGACAAUGGGCGAAAGCCUGAUCCAGCCAUGCCGCGUGUGUGAAGAAGGUCUUCGGAUUGUAAAGCACUCUAAGUUGGGAGGAAGGGCAGUAAGUUAAUACCUUGCUGUUUUGACGUUACCAACAGAAUAAGCACCGGCUAACUUCGUG